CCUACGGGGGGCUGCAGUAAGGAAUAUUGGUCAAUGGACGAAAGUCUGAACCAGCCAUCCCGCGUGCAGGAUGAAAGCCCUAUGGGUUGUAAACUGCUUUUAGCAGAGAAGAAAAGCUUUCAUUAAUGAGAGUCUGACGGUAUCUGCAGAAUAAGCACCGGCUAACUCCGUGCCAGCAGCCGCGGUAAUACGGAGGGUGCGAGCGUUAUCCGGUAUUACGGGGUUGAAGGGGGAGUUUUACGGAAUAUUAGGAAGCUUGUCGCUUAACGAUAAAAGUGACAAUGAUACUGGUACUGUUGAAUUGGGUUGAGGUUAGCGGAAUGUGACAUGUAGCGGUGAAAUGCAUAGAUAUGUCAUGGAACACCAAUUGCGAAGGCAGCUAACUGGGCCUUGAUUGACGCUGAGGCACGAAAGCGUGGGUAGCGAACAGGAUUAGAUACCCGGGUAGUC
rnacentral:rRNA from 1 species